CCAACCAGGGCACUGCAGGCACGACCGCGACCACAGCUUUGUAUUUUGGCAAACCAACAUUAAACCUCUCACCAUGUGAGCGUCGCUCAUGUUCCAGGUUGCGGUCACUUCCACGGUGCUUCCUAUACGAUCACAGUGCCGACACUGACUUCUGUCUGCCGCUCGAGACUGACGAUCCUGUUUCAAGCGCCGUAUCGUCGGCUAGGACCACGCUAAUGGC